CCUAACACAUGCAAGUCGAACGGUAACAGGAAGAAGCUUGCUUCUUUGCUGACGAGUGGCGGACGGGUGAGUAAUGUCUGGGAAACUGCCUGAUGGAGGGGGAUAACUACUGGAAACGGUAGCUAAUACCGCAUAACGUCGCAAAACCAAAGAGGGGGACCUUCGGGCCUCUUGCCAUCGGAUGUGCCCAGAUGGGAUUAGCUAGUAGGUGGGGUAACGGCUCACCUAGGCGACGAUCCCUAGCUGGUCUGAGAGGAUGACCAGCCACACUGGAACUGAGACACGGUCCAGACUCCUACGGGAGGCAGCAGUGGGGAAUAUUGCACAAUGGGCGCAAGCCUGAUGCAGCCAUGCCGCGUGUAUGAAGAAGGCCUUCGGGUUGUAAAGACUUUCAGCGGGGAGGAAGGGAGUAAAGUUAAUACCUUUGCUCAUUGACGUUACCCGCAGAAGAAGCACCGGCUAACUCCGUGCCAGCAGCCGCGGUAAUACGGAGGGUGCAAGCGUUAAUCGGAAUUACUGGGCGUAAAG
rnacentral:rRNA from 1 species